rnacentral:rRNA from 1 species
GACGAACCGUGCGAACGUUGUUCGGAAUCACUGGGUUUAAAGGGCGCGUAGGCGGGCUGUCAAGUCGGUGGUGAAAUCUUUCGGCUCAACCGGAAAAUUGCCUUCGAUACUGGCGGCCUGGAGGGAGGUAGGGGCAUGCGGAACUUCCGGUGGAGCGGUGAAAUGCGUAGAUAUCGGAAGGAACACCGAUGGCGAAGGCGGGUCUCUGGGCCGAUACUGACGCUGAGGAGCGAAAGCGUGGGGAGCGAACAGG